rnacentral:rRNA from 1 species
GAUGAACGCUGGCGGCGUGCCUAAUACAUGCAAGUCGAGCGAACGGACGAGAAGCUUGCUUCUCUGAUGUUAGCGGCGGACGGGUGAGUAACACGUGGAUAACCUACCUAUAAGACUGGGAUAACUUCGGGAAACCGGAGCUAAUACCGGAUAAUAUUUUGAACCGCAUGGUUCAAAAGUGAAAGACGGUCUUGCUGUCUCUUAUAGAUGGAUCCGCGCUGCAUUAGCUAGUUGGUAAGGUAACGGCUUACCAAGGCAACGAUGCAUAGCCGACCUGAGAGGGGGAUCGGCCACACUGGAACUGAGCCACGGACCAGACUACUACGGGAGGGAGCAGUAGGGAAUCUUCCGCAAUGGGCGAAAGCCAGACGGAGCAACGCCGAGUGAGUGAUGAAGGUCUUCGGAGCGUAAAACUCUGUUAUUAGGGAAGAACAUAUGUGUAAGUAACUGUGCACAUCUUGACGGUACCUAAUCAGAAAGCCACGGCUAACUACGUG